AACGAACGCUGGCGGCAUGCCUAACACAUGCAAGUCGAACGAGACCUUCGGGUCUAGUGGCGCACGGGUGCGUAACGCGUGGGAACCUGCCCUUAGGUUCGGAAUAACUCCCCGAAAGGGGUGCUAAUACCGGAUAAUGUCUUCGGACCAAAGAUUUAUCGCCUUUGGAUGGGCCCGCGUUGGAUUAGCUAGUUGGUAGGGUAAAAGCCUACCAAGGCGACGAUCCAUAGCUGGUCUGAGAGGAUGAUCAGCCACACUGGGACUGAGACACGGCCCAGACUCCUCCGGGGGGGAGCAGGGGGGAAUAUGGGAAAAUGGGCGAAAGCCUGAUCCAGCAAUGCCGGGGGGGUGAUGAAGGCCUUAGGGUUGUAAAGCUUUUUUACCCGGGAUGAUAAUGACAGUACCGGGAGAAUAAGCCCCGGCUAACCCCGU
rnacentral:rRNA from 1 species